rnacentral:rRNA from 1 species
CCUACGGGAGGCAGCAGUGAGGAAUAUUGGUCAAUGGGCGUAAGCCUGAACCAGCCAAGUCGCGUGAGGGAUGAAGGUUCUAUGGAUCGUAAACCUCUUUUAUAAGGGAAUAAAGUGUGGGACGUGUCCUAGUUCGUAUGUACCUUAUGAAUAAGGAUCGGCUAACUCCGUGCCAGCCGCCGCGGUAAUACGGAGGAUCCGAGCGUUACCCGGAUUUAUGGGGUUUAAAGGGUGCGUAGGCGGCCUUUUAAGUUAGCGGUGAAAGUCUGGGGCCCAAACAUAGAACUGCCGUUGAAACUGGGGGGCUUGAGUGUGGGUGAGGCAGGCGGAAUGCGUGGUGUAGCGGUGAAAUGCGUAGAUAUCACGCAGAACCCCGAUUGCGAAGGCAGCCUGCCAAGCCAUGACUGACGCUGAUGCACGAAAGCGUGGGGAUCAAACAGGAUUAGAUACCCUUGUAGUC